AUGGCAGCCGCAGCACUGAGGGCGCAGCUGAACGCCCAUAUCGCCGGCAUGUACACCAAUGGUGUGGUGGACGAGGAUACAUUCGAGGAGCUGCGGGACGAGGGCACCGCCGCCGAGGUCUCCCGCCUCUUCAUCUACGACGCCUCCGAGAUCAUCGACGACAUCGACCUCCUGAUGGAGGAGCCUGAAGUGGACUUUGACGAGGUGGAAGCCCUGACGCAGCAGCUCAUGCGGUGCACCUCCAGUGUUGGUGCACAGCAAGUGAACCUCGCCUGCAUGCACUUCGGCAAUUUCUAUGCCAUACAAUACAAACAAGGGUGUCUCGUGUCAUUGACUCUUGUUAGGAAUGAGUUCUAUAUUGUGCGACAUGAGUUGGAGAUCGUGAUGCAGCUCGAAGAGCAGAUCGCGGCAUGUGGUCCUGACUCCUAA
rnacentral:rRNA from 1 species